UACGUAGGAUGCAAGCGUUGUCCGGAAUUAUUGGGCGUAAAGCGAACGUAGGCGGUUUCUUAAGAUUGGUCUUAAAGACCGGGGCUCAACCCCGGGAAUGGAUCGAUAACUGGGAGACUGGAGGACGUCAGAGGAAAGUGGAAUUCCGAGUGUAGCGGUGAAAUGCGUAGAUAUUCGGAGGAACACCAGUGGCGAAGGCGGCUCACUGGCCCGAUACUGACGCUGAGGCACGAAAGCGUGGGGAGCAAACAGGG
rnacentral:rRNA from 1 species